rnacentral:rRNA from 1 species
GACGAACGCUUGCGACGUGCCUAAGAAAUGCAAGUCGAACGGAUCAGCAGCAAUGCUGGUUAGUGGCGAACGGUCGCGUAACACGUGGGCAACCUGCCCUGAAGCGGGGGACAACAACUCGAAAGAGUUGCUAAUACCGCAUGUGUAUCGGGAUGGCAUCAUCCAGGAUACAAAGCCGCAAGGCACUUCAGGAUGGGCCCGCGGCCUAUCAGCUAGNGGUGAGGUAACGGCCCACCAAGGCUUCGACGGGUAGCUGGCCUGAGAGGACGAUCAGCCGGAUUGGGACUGAGAUACGGCCCAGACUCCUACGGGGGCAGCAAUUAGGAAUCUUGCACAAUGGGCGAAAGCCUGAUGCAGCGACGUCGCGUGAGGGAUGAAGUC